rnacentral:rRNA from 1 species
UGGGGAAUAUUGCGCAAUGGGGGGAACCCUGACGCAGCCAUGCCGCGUGAAUGAAGAAGGCCUUAGGGUUGUAAAGUUCUUUCGGUAUUGAGGAAGGUUGAUGUGUUAAUAGCACAUCAAAUUGACGUUAAAUACAGAAGAAGCACCGGCUAACUCCGUGCCAGCAGCCGCGGUAAUACGGAGGGUGCGAGCGUUAAUCGGAAUAACUGGGCGUAAAGGGCACGCAGGCGGUUAUUUAAGUGAGGUGUGAAAGCCCCGGGCUUAACCUGGGAAUUGCAUUUCAGACUGGGUAACUAGAGUACUUUAGGGAGGGGUAGAAUUCCACGUGUAGCGGUGAAAUGCGUAGAGAUGUGGAGGAAUACCGAAGGCGAAGGCAGCCCCUUGGGAAUGUACUGACGCUCAUGUGCGAAAGCGUGGGGAGCAAACAGGAUUAGAUACCCUGGUAGUCCACGCUGUAAACGCUGUCGAUUUGGGGGUUGGAGUUUAACUCUGGCGCCCGUAGCUAACGUGAUAAAUCGACCGCCUGGGGAGUACGGCCGCAAGGUUA